GUUCCAGUCCAAAGCUAAAUAGCUCCAUUGUCUUGGAACACUGACAAGGAUAACACAUCAAAAUCACAGCAUGGAGUCGCUCAUAUCACAAAUCAGAAAGUCAAUAAAGAGAAGCAGAGACAGGGAUCCCAAAAUCCUCUUCAAGGAUGCAGUGGUUUAAAUGAGAAUGGCUCCGAUAGGCUCACAGAUUUGAACUCUUGGUGACCAGAGAGUGGCAUUAUUUUAAAGAAUUAGGAGGUGUGGCCUUGUUGGAGGACUGUGUUGCUGGGGGUGGGUUUUGAGGUCUCUUUCUAAGCCCAAAGUCUCUUUCCUUCUGCUGCCUAUGGAUCUGGUUAUAGAACUCUCAGUCACUUCUCUGGAAUCAUGUCUGCCUAUGUACAGACAUGCUCCCCACCAUGAUGACAUAGUCAUGGGGUCUCUUUGCAGUAAUAGAACACUGACAAAGACAAAGGACAUGACUCCAAUUGCCUAAGGAUUUCUCGUCUUCUAAAUGUCUACAACACCCUCCAUAGUGCCAUAAGGGUGCCACACCUGUGAACACAUGAAUUUUUUAUGGAAUACUACUGUAUGUAAAUCUUAACAAGUAUACCCUCCCAAAUACUUGACUUAUAGCAAAAAGCAAUUCAGUUUAUGACUGCCCACCCACCUUGACUGCCUUGCUGUCUUACUGGAUUGGUCCUGACUCCUUGAGAGUGCCUCUGUGCUUCCUAUCACAGAUUAUGAUCACAAUACCUUCUGUGGUUGAGGCCUUCCCCACAUCUCCAACUACUUGAAUUCUACCUAUCCUUAGAGGUUACCUACCAAAAAGUUCUCUCUAGAUGCAAGUACAUCUCUGUGAGUUUGAGGCCAGUCUGGUCUGUUUACUAAAUUUCAGGACAGGUAGGACUACCUAGAGAGAUCCUGUCUCAGAAAAACCACCACCACCAAAAACCAGUUUUCCUUAGAAAGUCUCGAUAGCAGUCUGAUCCAACGUGACCGUUUCUAUCUCAUCAUAAUUUCUAAAGCAGUGCAUCUUCAGGUUUCUGGUAAAAUUGCUAAUCGCAUGAUAAGAGUUAUGGAGUCUGUGAUCUGCCCUUCCCUCUCCAAACAGGUAUGGGUGAGCGUGAGGUUGAUUUGGCGGGAAAGGCUUAUGGGUUCAGGUUAAAUUCGUGCCCUGGUCUCUUUGUUGAGACACUGUCCUUCCUGUUUCUGAUAUUCAGCUUAAGAGUAGAUGUGAUGCUCUCUAACCUAUGAUCAUCUUAGAGGGGAAACUUAGCAUCUGCUAGAGCACCUCACAGAUGUUGCAUCCACUGUAGGUUUUCCAGAAAUGUCUGCUUGUGCUUAGUCAAGUUCAACUGGGUAGAAGAGUGUUGUAGUUUCAGGUUUAAUAACCACGCGUUUAACCAACCAUCUGUUACCUGAAGUCUCCCUCUGCUCAGAUUUGUUUUUCUUUUCUUUAAAAAUACGUUUGAGAUUUGUUUUGUAGGUAUUUUGCUGGUACAUCUGUAGAUGCACCACAUGAAAGCUGGUGCUCAAGGAGGGUAUCAGACCUCCUGGAACUGGAGUUAUGGGUGAUUGUG
rnacentral:lncRNA from 1 species